GAGUNCAAGAGGGGAGAGUGGAAUUCCAUGUGUAGCGGUGAAAUGCGUAGAUAUAUGGAGGAACACCGGUGGCGAAAGCGGCUCUCUGGCUNGUAACUGACGCUGAGGCUCGAAAGCGUGGGGAGCAAACAGGAUUAGAUACCNUGGUAGUCCACGCCGUAAACGAUGAGUGCUAGGUGUUAGACCCUUUCCGGGGUUUAGUGCCGCAGCUAACGCAUUAAGCACUCCGCCUGGNGAGUACGACCGCAAGGUUGAAACUCAAAGGAAUUGACGGGGGCCCGCACAAGCGGUGGAGUAUGUGGUUUAAUUCGAAGCAACGCGAAGAACCUUACCAGGUCUUGACAUCCCUCUGACCGCUCUAGAGAUAGAGUUUUCCUUCGGGACAGAGGUGACAGGUGGUGCAUGGUUGUCGUCAGCUCGUGUCGUGAGAUGUUGGGUUAAGUCCCGUAACGAGCGCAACCCCUAUUGUUAGUUGCCAUCAUUUAGUUGGGCACUCUAGCGAGACUGCCGGUAAUAAACCGGAGGAAGGUGGGGAUGACGUCAAAUCAUCAUGCCCCUUAUGACCUGGGCUACACACGUGCUACAAUGGCUGGUACAACGAGUCGCAAGCCGGUGACGGCAAGCUAAUCUCUUAAAGCCAGUCUCAGUUCGGAUUGUAGGCUGCA
rnacentral:rRNA from 1 species